CCCUACGGGGUGCAGCAGGCGCGAAACCUUUACAAUGCACGCAAGUGUGAUAGGGGGAUACUCAGUGCUUACGGCUCUGCUGUAGGCUUUUGUUGAUCAUAAACCGAUCAGCGAAUAAGUGGUGGGAAAGACCGGUGCCAGCCGCCGCGGUAACCCCGGCGCCACAAGUGGUCAUCGCGAUUAUUGGGCCUAAAGCGUUCGUAGCCGGCAGGGUAAAUCUUUUGUGAAAUUGUUCGGCCUAACCGAACAGCGUGCAGAAGACACUGCUCUGCUCGAGACCGGGAGGCGUAAGAAGUAUUCCAUGGGGACUGGUAAAAUGGGAUAAUCCAUGGAGGACUACCGAUGGCGAAGGCAUCUUACGAGAACGGAUCUGACGGUGAGGAACGAAAGCCAGGGGAGCGAACCGGAUUAGAUACCCGAGUAGUCCUGGCCGUAAACGCUGUGAGCAAGGUGCCGCGUAUUUCACGAAGAUGCGCGGUGUCGAAACGAAGGUGAUAAGCUCACCGCCUGGGAAGUACGGUCGCAAGACUGAAACUUUAAGGAAUUGGCAAGGGAGCAC
rnacentral:rRNA from 1 species